rnacentral:rRNA from 1 species
UACGAAGGGGGCUAGCGUUGCUCGGAAUCACUGGGCGUAAAGGGUGCGUAGGCGGGUCUUUAAGUCCGGGGUGAAAUCCUGGAGCUCAACUCCAGAACUGCCUUUGAUACUGAAGAUCUUGAGUUCGGGAGAGGUGAGUGGAACUGCGAGUGUAGAGGUGAAAUUUGUAGAUAUUCGCAAGAACACCAGUGGCGAAGGCGGCUCACUGGCCCGAUACUGACGCUGAGGCACGAAAGCGUGGGGAGCAAACGGG